UGAGUGACAUAAUAAUCCAUUUGCAUGUAAAUCUACAAAGACGGAUUAGUUCUUCGAACGCCCGUGGGACCGCCGCCACAAUGUACUGAAACCGUGCGUCGUUGCGCACAUAAUCAUCUUCCUUGGAAUGAUCUCAAUCAUUAUCUCAUUUUCAGCACGCUUACCUACCUGUCAUUAAAUCGUCUGUUUCCUUCUGGUAUAUAAGGAUGGUUAUCUAGAGUGGUAAGUCAUCGAUCAGUCUGCAGCUGAGUUUAUCUCUUGUGAUUUGAGCAGUAAGCUACCCGGAUAAAUAUGGCAAAACUCGUUAUCCUCUUCUCCGUGCUGAUGUUAGCGGCCCUGGCCGCCGCCGGCGACGACGCGACCACGCCCGCCGACCCCACAACCACUAUCGCCCCCAGCAAUGACACCGCGCCCGCCGCCGCCGACGCCACUCUCGCCGCCGACACCAACCAACCUAACCAGACGCCCAAAGCUGCCAACAGUGAAAAACAAGGCAGCAGAUAGACUGACCUUUGACGUUAUGACGGUUUUUGAAUUGCCACGUCUGUAUUUUUCAAUUUAGAUUACUACGUUAUAUUCGGCAGCAUAUUUUAGAAAGGUGUUUUUUUACACCAUAAGUAAAUAUUCCAUUUCAUGGCCCCUUAUUCUAAUUUCUUUUAUCUUACGAUUGCAAUUUCACUCACAUAUUUAAUAUAUAAUGUUAGUAGUACAACAUUUUAAAUUCAAUUAGGUACUUGAUUCUCUGUCUUCGUUGAUUCAAAUGGCAUGUAAUUUCUUUGUGAUAUUAAGGUAGGUAUUUAAUCCUUUUUAAGGAGUUGUGGCGUUCAAAGGAUCACUUUCAUUCCCCUCAAGACUGUCAUCGCUCUUAAUCUAACUAUCGUUAGAACAUGCUUCGUUUUAUGACUUGAUUUUAUUAAAGGCUUGUAUUCUAAGUAAGGAAAGAAGUGUGUCUUCUAGCCAUAUUUGAUGCCUUAUUUACGCACAUUUUAUUAAACAUCUACGAAUUAGAACAUUCAUUCUUCAUUCAUUUGAUUAAAUCUCAUUAUUUAAAGAAAUCAUAAUAAUAAACCACUUUAAAAAAUAAUUAAGUUUAUAAAUAAAUUAUUGAUAACUCUUA